GACGAACGCUGGCGGCGUGCUUAACACAUGCAAGUCGAACGGAAAGGCCCUGCUUGCAGGGUACUCGAGUGGCGAACGGGUGAGUAACACGUGGGUGAUCUGCCCUGCACUUCGGGAUAAGCCUGGGAAACUGGGUCUAAUACCGGAUAGGAGCCAUUUUUAGUGUGAUGGUUGGAAAGUUUUUUCGGUGUAGGAUGAGCUCGCGGCCUAUCAGCUUGUUGGUGGGGUAAUGGCCUACCAGGGCGGCGACGGGUAGCCGGCCUGAGAGGGUGGACGGCCACCUUGGGACUGAGAGACGGCCAAGAGUCCGACGGGUGGCAGAAGUGGGGAAUAUUGCACCAUGGGCGCAAGCCUGAUGCAGCGAGGCCGCGUGGUGGAUAACGGCCUUCGGGUUGUAAAAUACUUUCGCGAUGAACGAAGCUUGUUGUGACGGUACCUAGAUAAGAAGCACCGGCUAACUUCGUG
rnacentral:rRNA from 1 species